AUCUAAAUAGUUUAUAAAAAUAUUGGUUUGUGGGGCCAAAGAUAUAAGAGGUUACUUAUUUUGGAUA
rnacentral:tRNA from 1 species